GGGUCCCUGUUCUUGUUUGACCGACAUGACUCUCCUCUCUGUAAACAAGCUCCCAGGGUGAUGUGGUGAUGUUGCAACCUGAUUGUCUAUGGUCAAGGCUGGUCAGAAAGCAGAAGCAAGUAUGCUGUCAGAUAUAUUCAUGCCAUGUCUGAUCCACCUCUGCAGCAUGGAAAAAAUUUAGUAUGCUACUAUCACUGAACGUCAUUUCAGAUGGGUGGUUGGGGGAUGGUCACUCUUUAUGUUGGCUUUCAAGCUCCAGCUCAGUUACUUGGCC
rnacentral:lncRNA from 1 species